rnacentral:rRNA from 1 species
AUUGAACGCUGGCGGCAGGCCUAACACAUGCAAGUCGAACGAGGGGCGGACGGGUGAGUAAUGUCUGGGAAACUGCCAGAUGGAGGGGGAUAACUACUGGAAACGGUAGAUAAUACCGCAUACCAUCGGAUGUGCCCAGAUGGGAGUAGCUAGUAGGUGGGGUAAAGGCUCAACUAGGCGACGAUCCAGCGCUGGUCUGAGAGGAUGACCAGCCACACUGGGACUGAGACACGGUCCAGACUCCUACGGGAGGCAGCAGUGGGGAAUAUUGCACAAUGGGCGCAAGUCUGAUGCAGCCAUGCCGCGUGUAUGAAGAAGGCCUUCGGGUUGUAAAGUACUUUCAGCGGUGAGGCGUUACCCGCAGAAGAAGCACCGGCUAACUCCGUGCCAGCAGCCGCGGUAAUUC